ACUACAGAUGCAUCAAAUUAUGCAAUUGGAUCUGUCCUAUCUCAAGACGGUCAUCCAAUCUGCUUUGCAUCAAGAACGCUAAACAAUCAUGAAAAAAAUUACUCGGCAACAGACAAAGAAUUCCUAGCAAUACUAUGGAGCGUCAAUUAUUUCAGACCAUACCUUUACGGGAAUAAAUUCAAAAUAUUAACUGACCACCAGCCAAUAAAAUUCUUACACUCAAAACAUAAAGAAAAUACUAACGACGACUAUGUUGCUGACGACAAUACUAAUGACAAUGGCAAUAACAACAACAGCGGGAACACUAACGAUUCAAGAAAUACCUGAUCAGGACGGGUAUGCGCAAAUAGAGAUGAAAAAUCAAGAUAUAAUUAUCACAACAGAUAUAGUAGUACAUAUAAUAAACUUAAAAGAUAUUGACAAUAUUUUGAACGAAAUAGGAAAAAACAUAGAAAUGACAAACAAUGACAACAAACACAUAUUACAAUCGGAACUAACUGAAAAAAAAAAAACAAAUUGUAUACCCUAUAUGGAAACCACAAUCGCGAAAGAAGAGGAUUAAUUAUUGUAGUAGGUAGUUCAGCAAAAUGGUUGUUUGGAACAAUGGACGAUGAAGACAGGAUAGAAGUUGAGAAUCAUAUCUCUACAUUUAAAGAAAACAUGCAGGAAACAGAUGAAACAAGCUAAUUUACAUAAAUACGUAUUUCAAUGAUACAAUAAAAUACAUUGAACAAAUAGUUAAAUCAGAUAGAGAGGCAAUAGAGAGACAAUUGAAUGCAAUUAGCAAAUUCGAAAAUAACAGAUACCAGGAGAACUUAUAUUACGACCAACAGAUAAAAAUUCAGUUAAUAAAAAAUAAGAUUGAACAUUUGCAGGAUAACGUUGCUUCUGCUAGAUACAAUAUAUUACAUCCCAGCAUAUUAACAGAUCAUGAAAUAAAAAAAUACAAUAUCGAUUUCAACAAACUAAACCAUAUAAAGUUAGCUACGGCUAUGUUCAGAAAUAAUCUUUUAGUAUACGCAAUAGAAAUACCAAAAAACUUUAUAACAGUAAAAAUACAACAGAUAAUACCGAUGCCUAAUGAAGAAAACUUUGAAAUAGAUCAGGAAUCAGAACUGAUAUUUAACUAUAAAAAUUCAACAUACACCUAUAAAACAAAUAAAAAA